UGCAGUCGANGGCAGCACGGGGGCAACCCUGGUGGCGAGUGGCGAACGGGUGAGUAACAUAUCGGAACGUGCCCUGGAGUGGGGGAUAACUAGUCGAAAGAUUAGCUAAUACCGCAUACGAUCUACAGAUGAAAGUGGGGGAUCGCAAGACCUCAUGCUCGUGGAGCGGCCGAUAUCUGAUUAGCUAGUUGGUGGGGUAAAGGCCUACCAAGGCAUCGAUCAGUAGCUGGUCUGAGAGGACGACCAGCCACACUGGGACUGAGACACGGCCCAGACUCCUACGGGAGGCAGCAGUGGGGAAUUUUGGACAAUGGGCGCAAGCCUGAUCCAGCAAUGCCGCGUGAGUGAAGAAGGCCUUCGGGUUGUAAAGCUCUUUUGUCAGGGAAGAAACGGUGGAGGUUAAUACCUUCUGCUAAUGACGGUACCUGAAGAAUAAGCACCGGCUAACUACGUGCCAGCAGCCGCGGUAAUACGUAGGGUGCAAGCGUUAAUCGGAAUUACUGGGCGUAAAGCGUGCGCAGGCGGUUGUGCAAGACAGAUGUGAAAUCCCCGGGCUCNACCUGGGAAUUGNAUUUGUGACUG
rnacentral:rRNA from 1 species